rnacentral:rRNA from 1 species
AUGGUGGCCUGUGGCUUCGCAUCAUUCAGCAGAAAUACCUCCGCGGCCAGCCCCUCGCCUUCUGCCAGCGGUCUGGGGGUUCCCAGUUCUGGCAAUCCAUCAUUCAGCUCCUUCCUGUCCUCCGGAUCGGGACUUCGAUCGCGAUUGGGUCCGGCACCGCCACGUUGUUCUGGUUCGAUAGGUGGACUGGAGACACGCCUCUUGCAGCCCGCUUUCCAGACCUGUUCUCCAUCGCGGUUGCCCCCCGGAUUUCCGUGGCGACCGCCCUUGCUGACUUAG